UCGACCUGAGCUCAUGCAAG
rnacentral:rRNA from 1 species